CACGUAGGGCGCAAGCGUUGUCCGGAAUUAUUGGGCGUAAAGAGCUCGUAGGCGGUCCGUCACGUCCGCUGUGAAAACCCAGGGCUCAACCCUGGGCUUGCAGUGGAUACGGGCAGACUAGAGGUAGGUAGGGGAGAAUGGAAUUCCCGGUGUAGCGGUGAAAUGCGCAGAUAUCAGGAAGAACACCCGUGGCGAAGGCGGUUCUCUGGGACGGUACUGACGCUGAGACGCGAAAGCGUGGGGAGCGAACAGG
rnacentral:rRNA from 1 species